rnacentral:rRNA from 2 species
ACUAAGUUUCAACAACGGAUCUCUUGGCUCUCGCAUCGAUGAAGAACGCAGCGAAAUGCGAUAAGUAAUGUGAAUUGCAGAAUUCAGUGAAUCAUCGAAUCUUUGAACGCACCUUGCGCUCCUUGGUAUUCCUUGGAGCAUGCCUGUUUGAGUAU